AACGAACGCUGGCGGCAUGCCUAACACAUGCAAGUCGAACGAUGCCUUCGGGCAUAGUGGCGCACGGGUGCGUAACGCGUGGGAAUCUGCCCUUGGCUUCGGAAUAACAGUUAGAAAUGACUGCUAAUACCGGAUGAUGUCCCCCUGAGAGAUCUUGGGGACCAAAGAUUUAUCGGCCAGGGAUGAGCCCGCGUAGGAUUAGGUAGUUGGUGGGGUAAAGGCCUACCAAGCCGACGAUCCUUAGCUGGUCUGAGAGGAUGAUUAGCCACACUGGGACUGAGACACGGCCCAGACUCCUACGGGAGGCAGCAGUGGGGAAUAUUGGACAAUGGGGGGAACCCUGAUCCAGCAAUGCCGCGUGAGUGAUGAAGGCCUUAGGGUUGUAAAGCUCUUUUACCAGGGAUGAUAAUGACAGUACCUGGAGAAUAAGCUCCGGCUAACUCCGUG
rnacentral:rRNA from 1 species